CCCUUAGAUGUCCUGGGCCGCACGCGUGCUACACUGACGCCUACAGCGAGCACUUUCCAGCCCCGAGAGGCGGCUGGUAAUCAGCAAUAGGCGUCGUGAUGGGGAUAGAUCUUUGGAAUUAUGGAUCUUGAACGAGGAAUGCCUAGUAAGCGCAGGUCAUUAGCCCGCGCUGAUUAAGUCCCUGCCCUUUGUACACACCGCCCGUCGCUCCUACCGAUUUCGAGUGGUCCGGCGAAUCUUUCGGACUGCGCGCGGCCUUGAGUCGUGUCGCGGAAAGUCAGGUAAACCUUAUCACUUAGAGGAAGGAGAAGUCGUAACA
rnacentral:rRNA from 1 species